CUCAGCUCACCUUUUACUGAAAUCUGACUCUGCAAUCAUCCACAGUUACAUGUUAUUGUAGUCUGGAGGAAUCAAACCUCAGACUCAAUAUUCAAGCACCUCAAAUCCCUCUGCCCUUUCCACCAUGCUUCUACCACUGCCAGUCUGCCACCAUCCAACUCAAAUCAAAGCAAAGGCGAGAAAGGCACAAAGCUAAAUUAAGAGGGAAAUUGUAUGCGCACUUGCAUCUAAAGGGUGAAGCAAACAAGCUAUAACAAGAAAUCAAUCAAGAUAACCAAACUUAAAGUGGCACAAAAAAA
rnacentral:misc_RNA from 1 species